rnacentral:tRNA from 1 species
GCCAGGAUGGCAGAGUAGUGCAUUAGGUUUAAGCCCUAAAUAUAGAAAUUAAAUUUUUCUUUCUGGUA